GCAGGCACAUCGAUGGGCAGUGCCAUCUAUGAGGCAAAAACCGAAAGUGUCGCCAUCUAGUGGUCAGUUGGGUGCCGCGAUUGGGGUAAGAAUUUUCGGAGACGAAGAGGCAACAGAGUCAAUUGUCAUGAUCCCGGAAAACGGAGAGUUAUUCUAUGGGGGCUAACUUAGCUUCCCGCCCAGAGCCACGAGCUGCUGGCUUUCUUUCCCUUUUCGGCAGCCAUCGAGUGCGGUUUAGUUCAGUUUGGCCUUGUGUAAAGUGACGGAUAGAAUAUCCAGAUUAUAUAUAUAGCGCUAAAUCCUGUUUAUGGGUUUGGCGCUUAGUAUCCGAUAUUGGAUCCGGCCGUCGCUGUAGAGGGAACAAUUCAUCAAGUCC